GUGAGAGCGGAAGCUGAAUGGCUGGCUGCUUGUGAGGAGAAGGCAGAGAUCAAAGUGCGAGGAGCCUGCAGCCAGGAACCUGGGGCCCCUGGCAGAGAAACUCGGCAGGUUUAUUUGGCUGGCACGGACUGCGUAACCUCACCGCAGCCAGAGGAUCUAGAUCCGGGAUAGACUCGCCACGCCGGUGGGACCCAUAAACGAGGUCACUGCCCAUUCGAGGUCGGCGGAAAGCCUACGUUGCUUCGCAUGGAAUCAGAGUCCGCAGGUCCUACAGAACAGUCAAGGUCACGGAGGGCAGUUUGAAAGAGAUAAAAGAGACCCGGCUUUCGUGCAGGUCGCCCUUUUAAAGAAAACCCGAGCCUGCGGAGAAGCCUUCUUGGCAUUUGGACUGCGAUGUAACAGCUGUAAGUGUUUAACUUGUCAAGAACGGUGACUUACAGCGCGGGAGACAAUACUUCAUCACCAAAACGGGACAGAUCGGAAGACGGUUUGAGAGACCUACACGAAACCAUAACUCAAACAGCCCGUCGAUUGGCGC